UACGUAGGGGCUAGCGUUGUCCGGAAUCAUUGGGCGUAAAGCGCGUGUAGGCGGUCCGGUAAGUCCGCUGUGAAAGUCGGGGGCUCAACCCUCGAAUGCCGGUGGAUACUGUCGGGCUAGAGUGCGGAAGAGGCGAGUGGAAUUCCUGGUGUAGCGGUGAAAUGCGCAGAUAUCAGGAGGAACACCAAUUGCGAAGGCAGCUCGCUGGGACGUACUGACGCUGGAGACGCGAAAGCGUGGGGAGCAAACAGG
rnacentral:rRNA from 1 species